rnacentral:rRNA from 1 species
UACAGAGGGUGCAAGCGUUGUUCGGAAUUAUUGGGCGUAAAGAGCGUGUAGGCGGCCAAACAGGUCAGCUGUGAAAACUCGAGGCUCAACCUCGAGACGUCGGUUGAAACCGUUUGGCUAGAGUCCGGAAGAGGAGAGUGGAAUUCCCGGUGUAGCGGUGAAAUGCGCAGAUAUCGGGAAGAACACCCGUGGCGAAGGCGGCUCUCUGGGACGGUACUGACGCUGAGACGCGAAAGCGUGGGGAGCGAACAGG